UAGAGUUUGAUCCUGGCUCAGGAUGAACGCUAGCUACAGGCUUAACACAUGCAAGUCGAGGGGAAACGGCAUUGAGUGCUUGCACUCUUUGGACGCCGACCGGCGCACGGGUGAGUAACGCGUAUCCAACCUUCCCAUUACUGUGGGAUAACCUGCCGAAAGGCAGACUAAUACCGCAUAGUCUUCGAUGACGGCAUCAGAUUUGAAGUAAAGAUUUAUCGGUAAUGGAUGGGGAUGCGUCUGAUUAGCUUGUUGGCGGGGUAACGGCCCACCAAGGCAACGAUCAGUAGGGGUUCUGAGAGGAAGGUCCCCCACAUUGGAACUGAGACACGGUCCAAACUCCUACGGGAGGCAGCAGUGAGGAAUAUUGGUCAAUGGACGGAAGUCUGAGCCAGCCAAGUAGCGUGCAGGAUGACGGCCCUAUGGGUUGUAAACUGCUUUUGUAUGGGGAUAAAGUUAGGGACGUGUCCCUAUUUGCAGGUACCAUACGGAUAAGGACCGGCUAAUUCCGUGCCAGCAGCCGCGGUAAUACGGAAGGUCCAGGCGUUAUCCGGAUUUAUUGGGUUUAAAGGGAGCGUAGGCUGGAGAUUAAGUGUGUUGUGAAAUGUAGACGCUCAACGUCUGACUUGCAGCGCAUACUGGUUUCCUUGAGUACGCACAACGUUGGCGGAAUUCGUCGUGUAGCGGUGAAAUGCUUAGAUAUGACGAAGAACUCCGAUUGCGAAGGCAGCUGACGGGAGCGCAACUGACGCUUAAGCUCGAAGGUGCGGGUAUCAAACAGGAUUAGAUACCCUGGUAGUCCGCACAGUA
rnacentral:rRNA from 1 species